AACUUAAAGGAAUUGACGGGGGCCCGCACAAGCGGAGGAGCAUGUGGUUUAAUUCGAUGAUACGCGAGGAACCUUACCUGGGCUCGAACGUAAGAUGACUGUAGGUGAAAGCUUACAUCUCUUCGGAGCAUUUUACGAGGUGCUGCAUGGUUGUCGUCAGCUCGUGCCGUGAGGUGUCGGGUUAAGUCCCAUAACGAGCGCAACCCCUACCUUUAGUUGCCAUCAGGUUAAGCUGGGGACUCUAAAGGAACUGCCUACGCAAGUAGUGAGGAAGGCGGGGAUGACGUCAAGUCAUCAUGGCCCUUACGGCCUGGGCUACACACGUGCUACAAUGGUCGGUACAAAGGGUUGCCAAGCCGCGAGGUGGAGCUAAUCCCAUAAAACCGAUCGUAGUCCGGAUCGCAGUCUGCAACUCGACUGCGUGAAGUCGGAAUCGCUAGUAAUCGUGAAUCAGAAUGUCACGGUGAAUACGUUCCCGGGCCUU
rnacentral:rRNA from 1 species